UUACUUUUGUAUCUUCUGACUGUCUUGGGGAAAUCAGUUAUGAUGCCAUCAAUAUGAACCAGAGAAGAACGUAGUUAUUGAUUUCCACCGUUGUUUCAUCUGAGAAGAAAUCCCAGGGUGAUGAUACAAACUCAUUCCGGAAUACCUGGGCAUACACAGCUAACCGCCCCGCAGACUGCAGUUCUUUCACGAGAUUGGUUUUCCUUACAAUGAAACCACUGCUCUCAACAAACACGGAUUUCCUAUCAACAUAACAGCUUCAGCGAAUUUAUUGAUCUCUGCCACCGAUGAAUCAGAAGCAUCCUCAAUGUUUAACGGGAGCGUGUAAACAAGUUUGUACUGUGUUUUCUGAUGCUUCAGUUUGACCAGAACAGCACUGUGUCUAGACUGGAUCAUAACCUCCUUGUUCUGUUGUUAUAUCCAGCAUGACUCAAGGCAGUAGUUACAAGAUCAACAACAUCAAAUCCUAAUGAUGCUGCCAUAAAUGCGGCAUUCUCGAUGGUGAUCAUGAUGCCAGACAACUCCUUGUCCUUCGCAUAUGUCAGAAAUUCAGAUAACUUCAAAAACUUGCCAUGAUUUGUGUACCUUGGAUUCCGUAACAUAACAUAAUCACUCAGCGGGGAAGAUAUUUUGGCUGCAGUCACGUACGUCUCAAAAUGUUGAUGUCAUCCCAAGUGAGGUUAAAUGUGAAUAUUCCCUUUUUUGACUGAAUUUCUGGAAUGACAGAAAGAAGUGAACAGAACUUUGAUUGCUGGACAUCUGUAGUAGCAAGCAGGUCAAUGGAACUCAUGCAUAUAGGAAUUCCAUCUUUGGUCAUUUGAAUGGAACAGUCAAUAACAUCGGCACCAUCCCUAACUGCAUUCUCAUAGGCCAGAUCCGUACAACCCGGAUAAUCUCCACUACCACCAUUAUGUGAGAUAAUUAAUGGAUUCCCUUACGGAAACUAAAUUUAAAUCUACAAAGUACAACGACAUACCAAUAGCCUCUGAUGCAGUAAGUGGGAAAUCUGUUAAUACACCAUCAACACUAAAGCCACCGUCGCUGACAAAUGACAGAUAUUCCCCCAAAGGAUCAUAACUGUAGUUGUAGGGAAAAAUUCCAUCGUUUGAAAAAUCAGACGCAUAUAUUUCUAAACCUGCAUUGUGAGCUUCUUGGACAAUCUGUGUGUGAAGCUGAAUAUAAUUAUCACUUGUUACUGGCCAUAUAUAGUUUUUGGGAACCAUUAUACCUGAAGCAAUUGUCUUAAUAAAUGUCAAGUUACUCAACAUAUAGUUAUAUGUUUUAUUUGUUGAAGGAUCAGACAGGGCUUUAUCAAGAAAGCAGAACACUAGAUUCACUUCACGAUUAAUGCCUCCCGAUAAACUUUGCAGGAAACCUAGUUCAGGUGAUGAGAUGUACUUCACAGAGCCAAGCUUCUGUAUUGAAAGAAUGUAAUUUGUCAUGUUCAAACCAUGCUCUCUGUAGAAAAUUGAACUCAACCUCGACAUUCAACCAAGUAGAAGAUGGUUUGAUCAAGGAUAUGAAGCCGGUGACAGAAAGGAUGUCGAAGUUGGAGUCGAACCUCGGGGUACGGGAAUAAAUUGAUUGUGUUACUGUCCAAUGGUGGACACGAAGCCAUGUUAUAGUCCACAGGUAACCAUCCGGUUUUCUGUGCACCAUUGAUUAGAUAUGCCUUCAUCCCCUCUGGAUAAAUUUCAGUGAUAUCGGUGCAGUUCUGCAUAAGUAAAUCUCGGAGGCAAAUACCAACGCCAUCUUUCGUCAGUUGCACGUCACACCACAAGCUUAUGUGGAGCGAGGAGGCAAAAGCGAAGGCAUAUUCACUGGAAUCAGGAAAAACUCCCGAAAAUCCACCUUUAGCAAUAACAAGAGGAGCAUUACCU
rnacentral:sRNA from 1 species